rnacentral:ribozyme from 1 species
UUUUUAUGGCCAUUGUCAAUUGGGGUUGGUUCUUAUAGCAAAGCACUGGGUUAGUAAACUGAAACAAAAGGAUUUAAAAUCAGUAAUAAAGGGGUCUGGAGA